CUGGUGUGCUAGGUACAUUGUUCUGGGAUUUGACUAAUAAUUAAUAAGCAGGGCACAACUAGGCAAUUGUGAAGGAAUGAAGUUCCUCAGCUCGCAGCUUGUAAGGGCCUGGCUCCCAGGGAACUAAGGGAGUCCUGGGCUCUCGGGGAGAGCUCCUUUCCCUGAGCAAAGCUCCUUUGUUCCAGGUGGUUUGGUGUGCUGGGCACAACCACACCCUCCCUGCGCCUCUUAUGGCUUCCAGGACUCCCACCAUUCAGGACUCAUUUUUUGGCUCUAGCACAAUUGUUUUGAACUGAAGGAAUCAGAGACUUAGGGCAACUUCUUGAAGUUUCUACCCAGUUGGCAAAGAAAUCUUCUCAAUCCCCUACUUUCCCUAAACUAAGAGGACCAGAAAGUCUGCAGGCCCCAUGAUAUUCUACAUCUGCUGACACCAGGGAAACUCCACUACAAGGGAGUUGCAGUCUGUCACUCAACUUGCUGAGGACCAACUCUCGGGGGCACAGUCCCUACCUGCAAGCUGCUUGGAUCUCUUUGACAGGUUCCUCUGCUUGGGACAUUUCUCCACUUUCUCUCCUCAUACACUGCUCACCGGAUCUCUGGAGCACUCAGUUUACACCGUGUCUUCAGAGAACACUCUGACUAACCCGAGGGGGUUAGGUACCCCCCUUCUGGGUGUCCACAGCACUCUGAACAUAUCCCAUCACAGCAUUUACCCCACUGGACUAUGGCGGCCUUUCUCCUGGAUUAGGCUGUGAGGCUCUGAGGGCAACGACCACAACAGAUUCAACUCUGUACCCUCAGUGCCUUGCACUCAGUAAACUCUCAAAGAAUACAUGCUGGCCAACUUACUAUAUCAAUGCCUUCUGUUCCCACUCCAUUCAUGACCACAAUAAAGAGCUCUAAACAGAGCACCAAACCC
rnacentral:lncRNA from 1 species